UCAGCAACUGCAGCAGUCGCAUUAUCAUCAUCAUCGUCAUUCAUCGCCGCCACCCCCGCCGCCGCUGUCACCACCGCCGUCGCCACAGCCGCCUUCACCGUCACUUCUUCGUCUUCCCUCUCCGCGCCGAGUCCAAUGGAAAAUCAGGUUUGGCUACUGGAGGAUUCAGUGGACGGUCCUAAGCCCGGAUAAAAGAGGACGGUUCGUGAGUGAGAUUAGCGGCCUGUCCGCGGUAAAAAUACAGCACCGCUCAUAGCACUGACCGAGAAUGUCCGACGCCUCGGACAGACGACUGAAAAUAAUUACGGCAACCCGACGAGAAUAAAGAAAAAGCGAGCUCUCGGAGACAAAAAGGAAGGGACGGAGAUGCAGCAUUUUAACAGCCAGCAACCGAUUCGCAACAAUAUAUAUUCGCGUACAAUAUGAAUCCAGAGAUGGAAAAAUUUAUUAACAGUAUUUUUCCAUGUCGGAAUUCAUAUUGUACGCGAGUUACUGCGCAACUGCCGAAGCAGAACGGUCUA